GCGGCUCAGAGGAAGAACCUCUGCUUUGAACGCAGAAGGCCUGAGGUUCAGUUCCCGGCAUCUCCA
rnacentral:tRNA from 1 species